CAAUAGCGUAUAUUAAAGUUGUUGCAGUUAAAAGCUCGUAGUUGGAUUUCUGGUGGGAGCGAUGGGUCCGCCUUUCAUUAGGUGCGCACUCGGUUCGCGUCCGGCCUUUUUCGCGGCGAACGUGCCUGGCAUUAGGUUGUCGGGUUCGGGAGCCGCGUCAUUUACUGUGAAAAAUCAGGACGUUUCAAGUAGGCUUACGCCGUUGAAUGUACUAGCAUGGAAUAAUAAGAUAGGACUUUGGUGGUCUAUUUUGUUGGUUUGCACACCAAGGUAAUGAUUAAUAGGGAUAGUUGGGGGUAUUCGUAUUCAAUUGUCAGAGGUGAAAUUCUUGGAUUUAUGGAAGACGAACUACUGCGAAAGCAUUUACCAAGGAUGUUUUCAUUAAUCAAGAACGAAAGUUAGGGGAUCGAAGACGAUUAGAUACCAU
rnacentral:rRNA from 1 species